rnacentral:sRNA from 1 species
UCCUCUUUGUCGGAUAGAAAAAUAUUUAUUUAGAUACUCCACUUCGUUGCACAUUAUUCGUAAUCACAUCGUCCUGUAGUUUUAAGUUUCAGUUAUUUUUUUCCCGCAUUAUCGCCUCUAACAGGGCUUAUUAACUACACAGGAUUUAUCAUUAUGUCUAAUACAAUUACUGGUUCAGUAAAAUGGUUCAACGAAGCUAAAGGUUUCGGUUUCAUCGAGCGCGAAAACGGCGCUGACGUAUUCGCUCAUUUCAGCGCAAUCGCCAGCACUGGCUUCAAAACGCUGGCUGAAGGCCAACGCGUUGAGUUUUCUGUAACUCAGGGUCCUAAAGGCCCACAGGCAGAAAACAUCGUAGCGAUCUAAAUCGCCUGCGAAAGACCUUUUAAAAGGCAAGCCCUAACAGGCUUGCCUUUUUUC